rnacentral:rRNA from 1 species
GAUGAACGCUGGCGGCGUGCCUAAUACAUGCAAGUCGAGCGAACAGACGAGGAGCUUGCUCCUCUGACGUUAGCGGCGGACGGGUGAGUAACACGUGGAUAACCUACCUAUAAGACUGGGAUAACUUCGGGAAACCGGAGCUAAUACCGGAUAAUAUAUUGAACCGCAUGGUUCAAUAGUUAAAGACGGUUUUGCUGUCACUUAUAGAUGGAUCCGCGCCCAUUAGCUAGUUGGUAAGGUAACGGCUUACCAAGGCGACGAUGCGUAGCCGACCUGAGAGGGUGAUCGGCCACACUGGAACUGAGACACGGUCCAGACUCCUACGGGAGGCAGCAGUAGGGAAUCUUCCGCAAUGGGCGAAAGCCUGACGGAGCAACGCCGCGUGAGUGAUGAAGGUCUUCGGAUCGUAAAACUCUGUUAUUAGGGAAGAACAAAUGUGUAAGUAACUAUGCACGUCUUGACGGUACCUAAUCAGAAAGCCACGGCUAACUACGUG